rnacentral:rRNA from 1 species
AGAGUUUGAUCCUGGCUCAGGAUGAACGCUGGCGGCGUGCCUAAUACAUGCAAGUCGAGCGAACGGACGAGAAGCUUGCUUCUCUGAUGUUAGCGGCGGACGGGUGAGUAACACGUGGAUAACCUACCUAUAAGACUGGGAUAACUUCGGGAAACCGGAGCUAAUACCGGAUAAUAUUUUGAACCGCAUGGUUCAAAAGUGAAAGACGGUCUUGCUGUCACUUAUAGAUGGAUCCGCGCUGCAUUAGCUAGUUGGUAAGGUAACGGCUUACCAAGGCAACGAUGCAUAGCCGACCUGAGAGGGUGAUCGGCCACACUGGAACUGAGACACGGUCCAGACUCCUACGGGAGGCAGCAGUAGGGAAUCUUCCGCAAUGGGCGAAAGCCUGACGGAGCAACGCCGCGUGAGUGAUGAAGGUCUUCGGAUCGUAAAACUCUGUUAUUAGGGAAGAACAUAUGUGUAAGUAACUGUGCACAUCUUGACGGUACCUAAUCAGAAAGCCACGGCUAACUACGUGCCAGCAGCCGCGGUAAUACGUAGGUGGCAAGCGUUAUCCGGAAUUAUUGGGCGUAAAGCGCGCGUAGGCGGUUUUUUAAGUCUGAUGUGAAAGCCCACGGCUCAACCGUGGAGGGUCAUUGGAAACUGGAAAACUUGAGUGCAGAAGAGGAAAGUGGAAUUCCAUGUGUAGCGGUGAAAUGCGCAGAGAUAUGGAGGAACACCAGUGGCGAAGGCGACUUUCUGGUCUGUAACUGACGCUGAUGUGCGAAAGCGUGGGGAUCAAACAGGAUUAGAUACCCUGGUAGUCCACGCCGUAAACGAUGAGUGCUAAGUGUUAGGGGGUUUCCGCCCCUUAGUGCUGCAGCUAACGCAUUAAGCACUCCGCCUGGGGAGUACGACCGCAAGGUUGAAACUCAAAGGAAUUGACGGGGACCCGCACAAGCGGUGGAGCAUGUGGUUUAAUUCGAAGCAACGCGAAGAACCUUACCAAAUCUUGACAUCCUUUGACAACUCUAGAGAUAGAGCCUUCCCCUUCGGGGGACAAAGUGACAGGUGGUGCAUGGUUGUCGUCAGCUCGUGUCGUGAGAUGUUGGGUUAAGUCCCGCAACGAGCGCAACCCUUAAGCUUAGUUGCCAUCAUUAAGUUGGGCACUCUAAGUUGACUGCCGGUGACAAACCGGAGGAAGGUGGGGAUGACGUCAAAUCAUCAUGCCCCUUAUGAUUUGGGCUACACACGUGCUACAAUGGACAAUACAAAGGGCAGCGAAACCGCGAGGUCAAGCAAAUCCCAUAAAGUUGUUCUCAGUUCAGAUUGUAGUCUGCAACUCGACUACAUGAAGCUGGAAUCGCUAGUAAUCGUAGAUCAGCAUGCUACGGUGAAUACGUUCCCGGGUCUUGUACACACCGCCCGUCACACCACGAGAGUUUGUAACACCCGAAGCCGGUGGAGUAACCUUUUAGGAGCUAGCCGUCGAAGGUGGGACAAAUGAUUGGGGUGAAGUCGUAACAAGGUAGCCGUAUCGGAAGGUGCGGCUGGAUCACCU